rfam:Nomascus leucogenys chromosome 13, whole genome shotgun sequence.
CUACGGCCCCAUACCACCCUGAAAGUGCUCAAUCUCAUCUGAUUUCGGAAGUUAAACAGGGUUGGGCCUGGUUAGUACUGAGAUGGAAGAAAAGCAAAGCACAGAGAAGGUACAACUUGCCCAAGGA